GAUUGGCCAAAAAGUUCCUCUGGGUUUUUCGGAACCAUCUUAUACAAAAAUCUGAAUGAACUUUUUGGCCAAC
rnacentral:miRNA from 1 species